CGGGGGGAGCAAGCGUUGUUCGGAUUUACUGGGCGUAAAGGGCGCGUAGGCGGCGCAACAAGUCACUUGUGAAAUCUCCGGGCUUAACCCGGAGCGGCCAAGUGAUACUGUCGUGCUAGAGUGCGGAAGGGGCUACUGGAAUUCUCGGUGUAGCGGUGAAAUGCGUAGAUAUCGAGAGGAACACCUGCGGCGAAGGCGGGUAGCUGGGCCGACACUGACGCUGAGGCGCGAAAGCCAGGGGAGCGAACGGGAUUAGAUACCCCGGUAGUCCUGGCCCUAAACGAUGGAUACUUGGUGUCCGGGGUUACAUAGUCCCCGGGUGCCGGCGCUAACGCAUUAAGUAUCCCGCCUGGGGAGUACGGUCGCAAGACUG
rnacentral:rRNA from 1 species